UACGAAGGGGGCUAGCGUUGUUCGGAAUCACUGGGCGUAAAGGGCGCGUAGGCGGCUUGAUAAGUCGGGGGUGAAAGCCUGUGGCUCAACCUCAGGCCUGCGCGGGAUAUUGCUUGGCUAGAGUCCGGAAGAGGAGAGUGGAAUUCCUGGUGUAGCGGUGGAAUGCGCAGAUAUCAGGAGGAACAUCCGUGGCGAAGGCGGCUCUCUGGGACGGUACUGACGCUGAGACGCGAAAGCGUGGGGAGCGAACAGG
rnacentral:rRNA from 1 species